CCUUGUAGCUCAGUUGGUAGAGAAUCUGCCUGCAAUGCAGGAGACCCAGGUUCAAUCCCUGGGUCAGGGA
rnacentral:tRNA from 1 species